GCUUGCUUUGGCAACACAUAUACAAAAAUUGGAAUAACACAGAGAAGACUGGCAUGGCCCCUGGCACAAGGAUGACACACAAAUUCAUGAAGCAUUCCAUAUUAAA